CCAACUUAUAGAACAACCACUGCCCCUCGCACCUCUUUCAACCUUAAGAUUAGCUAUCAUGUCUGGCUCUAACCCGACCACUUUCUAACUGCUCCAUUAAGAAAUAACUGCGCUAUCAAGAAAUAUCUUUAUACGAUUAUGUAAGUAAAUAACUGCUCAAUCAAAAAAUUCAUCAAUGUAUCCAUCAAAAUUAAUUUAAUA
rnacentral:lncRNA from 1 species